CUCCAUCGGGUUUUGAUUACUUUGCUCCAUGAAAAUCGUAGUUUCAAGAUUCUUUAAGUCGUAUCAAUAGGAUUCAAUGUUUUUAUCGAUUUGGAAUCUGGGAUUCUCUGUUUCUAGUUGUCUUCUAGUUUUUGGGUUUGCGAAUUAUACUAUUGUAGAAUUAGAGUUCUCGAGGUGAUGAUGAUAACAUAUAAUCCCAGCUCUAUGAGACCUUUUGUGGUCAAGGAGUAUAACUAUGUUCAUACAUUUAUCUGAGCCUUAGAAUUUCUAGCUUCUUGAUUGAUAAAAUCUUUGUUAGAUUGGUUUGGUUUUUGUAAAAUAGCGUUUUAAAAUCAAAUUUGUUAAUGUGUGCUCUGUUUAAUUUGGUCUAUUCAUUUGCGUAUUCAUGAUUUUUAUUUAGGGUUUUGAUGUGGCGAUGAUGAUAACAUAUUAUCCCAGCUCAUUAUGAGACCUUUUGUGGUCAAGGAAAAUAACUGUUUUCUAUAACGUAUCUGAGCCAUAAAAACCCUAAAUUCACAUUCUUAUUUUGAUUUUAUUAGUAGGAAGAUUUUAUAUUUUGUUCCCUGUGAUGAUUUAAAAUCAAUACCAUGCUAAUGUAUAUUGAUAAUUUUUAUUUGAUUUAUAAGUGAUUUGCUGAGGGAACUCUUGUAUUUUUUAGGAGUUUAGGUUUUUGUUUUGCCAUAUGAUCUCUUUGAAUGUAAGGAUUCCCUAUGAUGGUAAUAACCAUGCUAAUACUGAUGUCUUGUGACUGAAUCAAAGUUAUGUGUCUGAGGGAAUUUUUUGUUUGCAUUUUUUUGUUUCGUGAACUACAUGUGAUUGUCGAGGAGAUUAAUAAAACCUAUAAAACUAUUCUAGGCUAAUCUUUAAAAUUUCGGAACCAAUUAUUUCCAUUUUAUCGACUAUAAACAAUGGUUAACAAGUGAGCCAAUAUCGCCAUGGCUGAAUUAUUUACAUUAUAACUAAACUCUAUAGAGACAAAAAUCAUCUUGAUCUCUGAGAUUGAUCCCGGAAAGGCCUCUUUAUAAUAUAGAUCCAUCAACUCGAAAACUACAAAUUCCAAAGUUCUUUGUGAACUAAUUUGUUUUCUCACCCCCAAACCUUGCCUAAUUGUUAUGGAGCCCAAUAAAGUGAAAACUCAAUAUUGUUUAGUAUCUAUGAGCCUAAUGGGCUUGGGCCAAGACCACUAGAUAUUAAAGAGAAAAUCCCCGCAAAUUUCAUAAUCGAGUUCUAUUGUAUUGCUACAGCACCUUCUGCACAUGUCCAAAGCCGGCACUGGUCUCAGCCCAGCGCUUUGGUCAGUGAACCUAUAUACAUGUUUGGGUAACCUUCCAAACAACCAUAGAUCAUGUAUGGAAAGAAAGGAAUGAUAGACGUCUUGGCAACAUAGAACGCCAGCCAGCACUUAUAGUUCAUCUAAUUGAAACUAUCAGAGAUCGCACGGAAACCAUAUAAUGGACCCCGUCUCCGUAAUCUCCUGCUUAUGUGGUUUCAAGCACGUGCUUUUAUAUUCCUAACUUUUUCAUCUGAAUUUAUUGUACAUAGCAUUACAUGCAAUAUUAUUUUUUGUGUACUAGUCUACAAUAUACAGAAUAUUUG
rnacentral:sRNA from 1 species